rnacentral:rRNA from 1 species
UACGAAGGGGGCUAGCGUUGCUCGGAAUCACUGGGCGUAAAGGGUGCGUAGGCGGGGCUUUAAGUCAGGGGGGAAAUCCUGGAGCUCAACUCCAGAACUGCCUUUGAUACUGAGGAUCUUGAGUUCGGGAGAGGUGAGUGGAACUGCGAGUGUAGAGGUGAAAUUCGUAGAUAUUCGCAAGAACACCAGUGGCGCAAGCGGCUAUCUGGACUGACAUUGACGCUGAGGCACGAAAGCGUGGGGAUCAAACAGG